CUGGCGGCGUGCCUAAUACAUGCAAGUCGAACGCACUCUCGUUUAGAUUGAAGGAGCUUGCUCUGAUUGAUAAACAUUUGAGUGAGUGGCGGACGGGUGAGUAACACGUGGGUAACCUGCCCUAAAGUGGGGGAUAACAUUUGGAAACAGAUGCUAAUACCGCAUAAAACCUAACACCGCAUGGUGUAGGGUUGAAAGAUGGUUUCGGCUAUCACUUUAGGAUGGACCCGCGGUGCAUUAGCUAGUUGGUGAGGUAAAGGCUCACCAAGACCGUGAUGCAUAGCCGACCUGAGAGGGUAAUCGGCCACACUGGGACUGAGACACGGCCCAGACUCCUACGGGAGGCAGCAGUAGGGAAUCUUCCACAAUGGACGAAAGUCUGAUGGAGCAACGCCGCGUGAGUGAAGAAGGUUUCGGAUCGUAAAACUCUGUUGUUGGAGAAGAAUGUAUCUGAUAGUAACUGAUCAGGUAGUGACGGUAUCCAACCAGAAAGCCACGGCUAACUACGUG
rnacentral:rRNA from 1 species